rnacentral:rRNA from 1 species
AUGUACGUGCCACGGCCCUCCCGCUCCGAUGGUAGCCGAGACGCCGACGAGCAGCCUAGGGUUUACCAGGUUUGGCGCGGAAACAACGAAUUCUUCUUGCAAGGGAGGCUUAUAUUUGGGCCUGAUGCGAGAUCCAUAUUUCUCACUAUGUCCCUCAUCUUUGUACCAGUGGUGGUGUUCUGUGUAUUUGUCGCCAGACACCUCAUAAAUGACUUUCCUGAUCACUGUGGUAUCUCAGUGAUGGUAGUGGUGGUUGUCUUCACCGUCUAUGAUUUGACGCUACUUCUUCUUACAUCUGGUAGAGACCCUGGUAUAAUACCUCGCAAUACUCACCCUCCUGAACCUGAAAGCAUCUAUGGGAGCAAUUAUAUUAGAGGUCAAACACCGCUCCGUUUGCCUCGGACAAGGGAUGUUGUUGUAAACGGAAUUAGUGUGAAGGUUAAGUAUUGUGACACCUGCUUGCUUUACCGACCACCUCGAUGCUCACACUGUUCUAUCUGCAAUAACUGCGUGGAACGGUUUGAUCAUCAUUGCCCAUGGGUUGGACAAUGCAUUGGGCAGCGUAAUUAUCGGUUCUUCUACAUGUUUGUAUUCUCCACCAUGUUAAUCUGCCUCUACGUAUUUGCCUUUUGUUGGGUGUACAUAAUCAAGAUUAGUGAUGCUGAGCAUUUGUCAAUUGGGAGGGCAAUGUUAAAGACACCAGCCUCAAUUGUUCUGAUUGCCUACUGUUUUCUUUGUGUGUGGUUUGUUGGUGGUCUGUCUGUCUUCCAUUUCUAUCUGAUGAGCACAAACCAGACAACUUAUGAAAAUUUCAGAUACCGCUAUGAUCGGCGGGCUAACCCCUAUAACAGAGGUAUUCUGAACAACAUUCUAGAGAUAUUCUGCAGCUCUAUUCCUCCUUCAAAGAACAAUUUUCGGGCAAGAGUCACGGUAGAGCAAGGUGUAGAACAAGCACGAUCUUCAUCUGGGGGUUUCAUGAGCCCCGACAUGGGCAAGGCUGUUGGAGAUCUUGAAAUGGGCAAGAAGCCAGCGCCUUGGGAUGAACCCAGGACGACAGCCGAUAUUGGCGACUUGGAAGUAGGUCUUGGUGGCAUGUUGGAUGAGAAAGAGGGCAGAGUAACCCAUGCAUCCCCAGAUGUUAGCCGAGAUCAACUUUCCCCGGAGCUUGUGGAAGGCCGAGCUGGCAUGCAUUCAAGGCAUUCAAGCUGGGAUCCUAGAGCUGAAACCUCGGAGUCAGUGAACAGCAAUUCUGUGCAAACAGCCCCUACCGAGGAAACUAAUGGGGGCGGCCAUGUUACUACGAGCGGUGCGCAUUAG